rnacentral:rRNA from 1 species
AGCGAACGCUGGCGGCAGGCUUAACACAUGCAAGUCGAACGGGUAUCUUCGGAUACUAGUGGCAGACGGGUGAGUAACACGUGGGAACGUACCUUUCGGUUCGGAAUAAUACAGGGAAACUUGUACUAAUACCGGAUGAGCCCUUCGGGGGAAAGAUUUAUCGCCGAUAGAUCGGCCCGCGUCUGAUUAGCUAGUUGGUG